UACGGAGGGUGCAAGCGUUGUUCGGAAUUAUUGGGCGUAAAGCGCGCGCAGGCGGCUGGAGAAGUCCAUGGGUGAAAGCCCGGGGCUCAACUCCGGAAUUGCCUUUGAGACUGGAAGGCUUGAUCGUCGGAGAGGUGAGUGGAAUUCCGAGUGUAGAGGUGAAAUUCGUAGAUAGUUCGGAAGAACACCAGUGGCGAAGGCGGCUCACUGGACGACUGAUGACGCUGGAGGUGCGAAGCGUGGGGAGCAAACGGGAU
rnacentral:rRNA from 1 species